AUGCACGCUGGCGGCGUGCCUAAUACCUGCAAGUCGAGCGAACGGACGAGAAGCUUGCUUCUCUGAUGUUAGCGGCGGACGGAUGAGUAACACGUGGAUAACCUACCUAUAAGACUGGGAUAACUUCGGGAAACCGGAGCUAAUACCGGAUAAUAUUUUGAACCGCAUGGUUCAAAAGUGAAAGACGGUCUUGCUGUCACUUAUAGAUGGAUCCGCGCUGCAUUAGCUAGUUGGUAAGGUAACGGCUUACCAAGGCAACGAUGCAUAGCCGACCUGAGAGGGUGAUCGGCCACACUGGAACUGAGACACGGUCCAGACUCCUACGGGAGGCAGCAGUAGGGAAUCUUCCGCAAUGGGCGAAAGCCUGACGGAGCAACGCCGCGUGAGUGAUGAAGGUCUUCGGAUCGUAAAACUCUGUUAUUAGGGAAGAACAUAUGUGUAAGUAACUGUGCACAUCUUGACGGUACCUAAUCAGAAAGCCACGGCUAACUACGUG
rnacentral:rRNA from 1 species